UGAGAAAGUUGAGCAGUCCAGAGAUGUC
rnacentral:piRNA from 1 species